rnacentral:lncRNA from 1 species
UUUUUCUAAAUUAUAGUUGAUUUACAAUUGUGUGCCAAUUUCUGCUGUAAAGCAAAGUGAUUCAGUCAUACAUACACAUAUACUUUAUUUUAUAUAAUCCUCCAUGGUCUGUCCCAGGAGACUGGAUAUAGUUCCCUAAGCUCUACAGUAGGAUCUUGUUGCUUAUCCAUUCUAAACAUAAUAGUUUGCAGCUACUACCCUCAAACUCCCAGUCCAUCCCACUCCCUCUCCCUUCCCACUUGGCAACCACAAAAUUCAGCUUUGCUUGUUUUGACAUUUACUAUUGAUAAGGGCCUAAAUUCUGUGAAAUUGUUAAUUCAUAGACUUUAUUCCGCAGUGGGGGAAAAACUGUCACCAGCUUUGUAUUUGAACCUACCAGUCUUAUCCCAAUUUUCUUUCUGUGAUGCUUAGGAAGAGUUCUUCAAAUGCUCUAUGAACAAAUUUUAUUACACCCUUGUUUCCUUAUUGCAGAGUUAAAUUUAUCUUUGGCAUACAUUCCACUCCGUAUUUGAAAGAAUCUUUUUUUUAAACUUUACUGUAUAUUACACUUUGACACGCUAGCAUGUUCUCAGAGUCACCGUAACUGGUCUGUGGCUUCUGAAUUCAUUACUUUACUUGCUUCUCUCACAUUUUACCUCCUGUCCAGAUGGACUGCUAGCAUUCUGUAUUUAUUUUAAGAAAUUCUGUUGUAAAUGUAUAAACCUAAACCUAAAUUAUCCAUCCUAAAGAAAAAUGAAUGAGAAAUAGUGGCUACUGAACUACGGAUCAAAUUUAUUUUAAAAAAUUAGGUGUACUUGACCUGUAAUGAGUUUCAUGUGUACAACCUGUAUAACUGGUAUUUUUAUAUACUGUGCAAUGAUCAUAAAAAUUAAGUCUAGUUACCUUAUCUUCCAAAGUUUCAAUUUUUUUUCUUGUGAUAAGAAAUGUUACGACAAAUUCCAAAUAUGUACUCCUAUAUUAUUGACAGUAGUCACUAUGCUAUACAUUGUAUCUCCGUGACUUAUUUAUUUUGUAAAUAGAAACUAGUCCCUCUUAACACUCUUCACUCAUUGUGCCGACCUUCAACAUCCCUUGCCACUAGCAAUCACCAUUAUGUUCUCUAUAUUUAUGAGUUUUGCUUUUUUUUGUUUUUGGAUUCCAAAUAUAAGUGAGGUCAUAUUGUCUGACUUACUUCACUUAACAUACUUAGCAUCCUUAAGAUCCAUCCACGUUUUUGCAAAGGGCAAGAUCUCGUUUUAUUUUAUAGCUGAGUAUUCUACUGCAUGUGUAUGCAUAUAUCACAUCUUCUUUAUCCAUUCAUUCUUCAGUGGAUACUUAGGUUGUUUCCAUAACUCAGAUCGAGCUUAAAUAAGUAGUUCACAUCACUGGACAUCUCCAGAGAGACACCAGUUACUACAGGCUGUGCAUUACACAGAAAUAAUUGGCUCAGGUCUCUUCACAAUUUCCUCACAAAAUUUCAUAAGGUAAGAGAAAUGCCAUUUCCCUUGAAACCAUUUUUGGGCCAGCAACGAAUAUUAUCCUUUAAAAAACUGACUAUCUAGGAACUUCAGUUCAAAUUGUAAUGCUUAAAAUCUUUAACUAUUUUAUUCUUUUAGUUUGAGGGACAUGGAUUUUAUAAUCAUAAAAAUCAAAUUCAACCAGGUUUAAGUCAGUGAUGCUAGCACAAGGUAGACAAAACUGAUGAUACGAGUAUUACGGUCCUAACGUCGUUGUGAAGAUGAAUUGAGAGGAUGUUUAAAAGAUCACACAGCAGGUGACCUACAUUUAGAAGACACUUCUUCACUUAUCAUUCUGCUCUGUCUGUCCUUCUCCUCAAAUUCUUUUUGGAUAGAAUAUAUAAUUAAUUCCUAUAAUAAUAGCUAAGAUCGUUGAGCAUUCAUUUUGUGUCAGGCAUUCGAGGUACAUGAAUAAGUUAAUUUUAAAAUGCAAUUAUGGUAUAAUAUAUAAGAAAAUGAAAGAAAAACAGUUUCAGUUAUAAGCGAACAUAGAUGGUCUAUAUACAAUGCCUGAGUCGACUAAACAUUUAUGACUUGUUUGGCUGAGUUUGUACGGAAAAGGGAUUCAUUUCACCUUGGUUUUCCCUACCAUAUCCAGGCAUCAGCAUUUCAUUUUCAGCCUAAAUAUUUCCACAUGCAUAUGAAUUACCCUGGACCCUCAUUUCCUCUCAAGCUUUCAGAUUUUUAAAUAGUCUAAAAGGAAUAACUCAUAAUUCUGUACUAUAAUCCAAAGACUUUUCAACUCAGCCUCUCUGGUGUGGCCAGGGUUAUGGUGAAUUUGGGUGACAUAAAAGAGUGGACUUGAGAAAUGACUCCAUUGUCAAUUUGCCUAGGGUUUUUGACACCUUACAUAAGGUCAAGGAUGGGAAAAUAAAUGCCACAGGCUGUUACGAAGAGUAGAUGAGAAUUCAGGAAAGCAUCAGCGCAUGUGAACUAUUCAAAAUACUUGAUUUUUAAAAACAUGCAUAUUAUUACUCUCAUAACACUGCCUCUCUUAUGGACAUUUUAUGAAUUGUGGUUCACUGACUUCACGCUGGCUGCUCCAAUGAAAGCAUUAGAGGCUGUGGUUGUAUUGGACUCCUCUUGGAUGUCUUUCUGAGUUCAAGGUGGAAGUUUUCAUGCACAUAGUACCUCUAGAAAUAACACAUUUCCAAGAGCUUUUGAUGGCCAAAUGAAUCAAAUUAAGAGUUCAAUUUAAAUAAAAUUUAAGCAAGCACUAUUGUUUAAUUUGAUAUUUCACUAUAGCAAAUGCUGUGGGUUGGGUAUAAAUUCAAGGGUAUAAUUAGGUAUCCUUAACUAGUUCUUUACUUGUAUAUUAAAUUAAAUUAAAUUGAUUUUUUUAGCUCUGAACUAAAUUUCCUGCAGAGAAACGUACCUCUUAAUUACCUAUAUUUUUAAUGUCAAAAAAAAGCCUACUGAUUCCUUAGUUUCACCUAUCAGUAUCUACUUAGCAAAUUAUUUGGGCAGUAUUUUUUAUCAGACCAUGUCCAGAAUAAUUCUUCGAUAUCAGCCCCAAACACAAGAACUUCUAAUCUGUGGAAAAUCCAGGAUCCAAACAGAUGAAAAGUCCUUUUCCGUCACAAAAUGUUAACCUCAGAGUAUAUCUGGUGCCAGAGUAUUGUCUUUAUUUCUCAAACACAUUUCUCUGAUGAUACAAAUUUGCCCUGAUUUAGAGAAAUGGCAUAAGAAAACUUCAAAUUUUAUUGGCCUAGAGAUUUCUGCAUCUAGCAGGGCUGAGAAAGCUCCUACCAGAUUAAAAUGUUCAUUACAAGAUUAUUUUUAUUGGCAAAUUGUAGAACCAAUACAAAUACAGAUAAGACAGGUUUUGGUAUACCCAAACAAUGACAUACUAUUCAGCAAUAACAGCGAAAAACUGCAGACAUGUGUUUCAACAUGCAAAAACCUCAAAUGCUUUAUGCUAAAGGAAAAAAUUAGGCAAAACAUACAAUAUACUCCAUUCAUACGAAAUAACCAGAAAAGGCAAGAGAGGUAAAAUAUGGGUAGUAGUUGCCUGGGGAGAUUGGCUUAAAUGGGUAUUAGAGAUCUCUUUGGGAUGAGAAACAUGUUCUAAAACUGUAUUUCAUAAAUCUCCAAAUUUACUACAGGCCAUUGAAUUAUACUAUUGAAAAGGUCAACUUUGUUGUAUGUAAGUAUCUUGUAAAUGUAUUCAAAACAAGCACAUAGAAACUGUGUAACUCUAAAAGACAAUAUCCAAAAUAAAAAUUCAUUGGACAAGCAUAAUAUAAAAAUAAAUAUGACAGAGAAAAGGCUCCUUAAACAAAGUUAAUCAAUGGAAACUACCUAAUUUAAAGAGAAAACCUGUAUAAUGGAAAAAAUAAUAACAAAGUCUCAGGGACCUAUAUUUAAUAUAAUGUAACUUGAAUCCAGAUCAAGGAUGUGAGGUAGAAAAUGUUUUGAAUAUAUGCUAAUUGAAAAUUUUCCAAAUUCGGUGAGAGAAAAAAUUUUAAAUUCAAAAAGCUCAACAGAACCCUAGCAGGAUAAGUAUAGCACAACUAUGCCUGCAUGUCAUAGUCCUACUCCCAUAAAUCAAAGACAGAAUCUUAAAAGUCAGAAAAAAUAAAUUACAUAUAGGAAAAUAACAAUGUGAAUGUCCUUUUACUUCAGAAAUCAAGCAGACAACAUCUUCCAUGAGUGGAAAGGAGAAAAAGACUAUCAUCGUUAACAAGAAUAAUAAACCCUUUACCCAGAAUUCUAUAUCUGACAAAAAUAUUCUUCAAGAAUGAAGGUAAAGGAGUUCCCGUCAUGGCUCAUGAAAGUAUAUUUAUAUAUUUUAUUGUUUUCAAAUAUUACAUUAAAAACUAAACAAACAUUGUAUGCUAGUGAUUUGCAUCCUGAAGUCUCUAGGGAGAAAGGAACAUGUCUUUGUGAAAUGUGUUGAAAUCAGAUGGAAUCAUGGAGGCAUAGGUAGGUAUGUAGAUGCAUAAUAAAGCAAGUACAGAAAAUAUUAACGGUGGGUCUAGGCAAUGGGUGUAUGCGUAUUCACUGUCAUAUUUUUUCAGUAAAGGUGUGUGUUUCAAAGUCUGCAUUAAGAAAUUUUGAAGGAAAAAAUGCAAAAAAAUCCCCCCAACCCUUAGGGGAUCCUCCAACUUAAGAGUUCCAAACAAGAUAAUCAGUUCAACUUCAGAAAUAUUUAGGAAAGAAAAAAAAUUGAAUGUUAAAGUCAAUUCCAACUAGUUUACUUACCUUUCACACACUGGCCUAAGUCUCUUUUUAUAGUGUUAUAUAUCUUAACUUUCAUUUACCUUCUAUAUUUCAGAAACAUUAAGCUAGUUAUUUUUCCCAGAAGUAUCUGGCACAUUUGUGAUUAGUUCCCAAAGGAGGAAGUUUGGUUUUAUCCAUUCAGAGAUAAUUUUUCAGCUUUUAAUAAUAAAAUAGAUUGUGAAGGAAAAUUAUAAUUAUGUUCGACAGGAAAAUUAACUUUGUUAUUAUAAUUCUAAAGCUUUCUAAUUUGUAACCCUCUUUUCAAUAUCAAAGUCAUUGUUUUUAGAUAAUAUAAUUUUGAAAUAAUGGAGAUUUUUGUAGGAACAAAACUAUAGCAGAACCACUUAAUUACAAGGUUCAUGAGGUCAGGAGUAGUGUCUAUAGUGAUCACCACUGCACCCUCAGCACUAGCAUGGUCCUGACACCCCAUAUGCUCUCCAACAAUAUUAUUCAUAGCAAAUAUCCAAUGUAUAAAAGAGUAUUAUAUUAUUAACGUCAUGGGAUUUUGUAAAAAAAAUUGCUCAAUUGUGACAGUUUUUGACAUAAGUUGUUAUACACAGGAAGUGCUGAAUAAAUAUGAGUUCUUGUCUCUGUAUAGCCAUUGGCAUAGCUUAGUCUUCCAUCAGGGAUACUAAAUUCAGGAGCGGGAUUAAGUGGGGGGCCUAUUCCAAAUAUUAGAAAGGGAGAGAACAGAUGCGAAAGGGCUCACCCAUUGUCCCCAGACUUUCAGAGUUACUGCUUCCUUUAACUUCUUUACAUCAGCAGUAAUAACUACCAGAUCAAUAUCUUGCCUGAAACAUUUUUGUUGAAUAGGACAUACUCUCCUCUUCCCCCUCAAGCUAGACUUUUGUCUAUAACCAAACAAAGAGUGUGUGUUAAGAACGGACCGAUAAACCCAAUUUCUAUUAUUCUCGGAAUCCAUGGAGAUCAGGGAUCAAGUAGUAAUGUGGCUACGAAAAUGAUGAUGGAAUAAAGAUUUGCAUUGAUUCUCCAGCUGCCAAUACCAGCGAACACUCAGGCUCUCAAUCAGGGUCUUUGUUUAAAUGCCUGCAGUUUAAGAAAUGCCUAUUAAUGCUCCUUGAUAACUCCCGGCUGUAACAACCACCGUUUCUGUAAACCAGCAGUAGUCAAUUGUUGGCAGAUGCAGAAUCCUAAGAUUAGAAUUUUCAAGGGACUGGAAGAAAAUGGAAUUUACUUCACCCACCUAGUCUGUCUUGCUUCUUUCAUCUUCAGGUCAAUUCAAGUCCAUGAACAUUUGCUAACCACUGCUAUGUCCUAAGCAAGAGAAGCACCUGUCCUUGUGUGACUGGAGAAGCAGACAGUACAGGGCUUGCUGGGCCGCCAAGUAAACUGAGUGCAGAGGUGAUGAUGGUGGUGUUGAUGAAGGUGGUGACAACUUUCUCCACUGGAAUGCUUUCUCUGUGGUAGAUAUCGUUCUGGGUCCCUAACAAGGCAUAAACUUAUACCACGUAUUGUUAAAACACCUUAUAAAAAUGUCACUAAUUACCUCAUUUCACAGACGGCAAAACUGAGGCAUCAAGCUGGUUACUUGACUAAGGUAACACAGCAUACGAGUGUAGAGCUAAGAUUUCAAAUCAGACAUUCUGUCUCCAAAGCCUGAGAUGUUGAGGGCGCACAAGGGAGGACAUUAUUCUAAUGGGGGUACUUAAUAAAAGUUUUACAGUAAAAGUGAUAACAUUUGAGCAAGAAUGUGGGGCAUUCGGUGUUAGGAUGUAGACCUAUAGAGAGAACCGUAGGUUCCAUAGGUCUAUAGGGGAAGGUAUGAAAGGCAGCAGGGGUUGCCUGAGCAAAGACAUG